AGUGAACGCUGGCGGUAGGCCUAACACAUGCAAGUCGAACGGCAGCACAGUAAGAGCUUGCUCUUACGGGUGGCGAGUGGCGGACGGGUGAGGAGUACAUCGGAAUCUACUUUUUCGUGGGGGAUAACGUAGGGAAACUUACGCUAAUACCGCAUACGACCUACGGGUGAAAGCAGGGGAUCUUCGGACCUUGCGCGAUUGAAUGAGCCGAUGUCGGAUUAGCUAGUUGGCGGGGUAAAGGCCCACCAAGGCGACGAUCCGUAGCUGGUCUGAGAGGAUGAUCAGCCACACUGGAACUGAGACACGGUCCAGGCUCCUACGGGAGGCAGCAGUGGGGAAUAUUGGACAAUGGGCGCAAGCCUGAUCCAGCCAUACCGCGUGGGUGAAGAAGGCCUUCGGGUUGUAAAGCCCUUUUGUUGGGAAAGAAAAGCAGCAGGUUAAUACCCCGCUGUUCUGACGGUACCCAAAGAAUAAGCACCGGCUAACUUCGUG
rnacentral:rRNA from 1 species